GAUGAACGCUGGCGGCGUGCCUAAUACAUGCAAGUCGAGCGAACAGACGAGGAGCUUGCUCCUCUGACGUUAGCGGCGGACGGGUGAGUAACACGUGGAUAACCUACCUAUAAGACUGGGAUAACUUCGGGAAACCGGAGCUAAUACCGGAUAAUAUAUUGAACCGCAUGGUUCAAUAGUGAAAGACGGUUUUGCUGUCACUUAUAGAUGGAUCCGCGCCGCAUUAGCUAGUUGGUAAGGUAACGGCUUACCAAGGCAACGAUGCGUAGCCGACCUGAGAGGGUGAUCGGCCACACUGGAACUGAGACACGGUCCAGAAUCCUACGGGAGGCAGCAGUAGGGAAUCUUCCGCAAUGGGCGAAAGCUUGCCGGAGCAACGCCGCGUGAGUGAUGAAGGUCUUCGGAUCGUAAAACUCUGUUAUUAGGGAAGAACAAAUGUGUAAGUAACUAUGCACGUCUUGACGGUACCUAAUCAGAAAGCCACGGCUAACUACGUG
rnacentral:rRNA from 1 species